rnacentral:rRNA from 2 species
CUGGUGUCAGCCGCCGCGGUAAUACCCGCACCCCGAGUGGUCGGGACGAUUAUUGGGCCUAAAGCAUCCGUAGCCGGUCCUGCAAGUCUUCCGUUAAAUCCAGCUGCUCAACAGAUGGGCUGCGGGGGAUACUAUAGGGCUAGGAGGCGGGAGAGGCAAGCGGUACUUUAUGGGUAGGGGUAAAAUCCGUUGAUCCAUAGAAGACCACCAGUGGCGAAGGCGGCUUGCCAGAACGCGCUCGACGGUGAGGGACGAAAGCUGGGGGAGCAAACCGGAUUAGAUACCCGGGUAGUCCCAGCUGUAAACGAUGCAGACUCGGUGAUGGGUUGGCUUCGUGCCAACCCAGUGCCGCAGGGAAGCCGUUAAGUCUGCCGCCUGGGGAGUACGGUCGCAAGACUGAAACUUAAAG